CGGGUGGGCACUCUAAGGAGACUGCCGGUGACAAACCGGAGGAAGGUGGGGAUGACGUCAAGUCAUCAUGGCCCUUACGGCCAGGGCUACACACGUGCUACAAUGGUCGGUACAAAGGGUUGCCAAGCCGCGAGGUGGAGCUAAUCCCAUAAAACCGAUCGUAGUCCGGAUCGCAGUCUGCAACUCGACUGCGUGAAGUCGGAAUCGCUAGUAAUCGUGAAUCAGAAUGUCACGGUGAAUACGUUCCCGGGCCUUGUACACACCGCCCGUCACACCAUGGGAGUGGGUUGCUCCAGAAGUAGCUAGUCUAACCGCAAGGGGGACGGUUACCACGGAGUGAUUCAUGACUG
rnacentral:rRNA from 1 species